rnacentral:rRNA from 1 species
CCUACUGGGGGCAGCAGUGAGGAAUAUUGGUCAAUGGGCGGAAGCCUGAACCAGCCAAGUCGCGUGAGGGAUUAAGGCCCUGCGGGUCGUAAACCUCUUUUGCCGGGGAGCAGAGGUCCGGACGUGUCCGGGCCGGGAGAGUACCCGGAGAAAAAGCAUCGGCUAACUCCGUGCCAGCAGCCGCGGUAAUACGGAGGAUGCGAGCGUUAUCCGGAUUUAUUGGGUUUAAAGGGAGCGUAGGCCGGUCUUUAAGCGUGCCGUGAAAUUUUGUGGCUGAACCAUGAGAGUGCGGCGCGAACUGGAGACCUUUAGAGCGCGGAAGGCAGGCGGAAUUCGUGGUGUAGCGGUGAAAUGCUUAGGU